rnacentral:rRNA from 1 species
AGCGAACGCUGGCGGCAGGCCUAAUACAUACAAGUCGAGCGCACCUUCGGGUGAGCGGCGGACGGGUGCGUUACGCGUGGGAACGUGCCCUUUGGUACGGGAUAACUGAGGGAAAAUUCAGCUAAUACCGUAUGUGCCCUACGGGGGAAAGAUGGAUCGCCAUUGGAGGGGCGCGCGUUGGACAAGGUAGUUGGUGAGGUAAAGGCGCACCAAGCCUACGAUCCAUAGCUGGUCUGAGAGGAAGAUCAGCCACACUGGGACUGAGACACGGGCCAGACUCCUACGGGAGUCAGCAGUAGGGAAUCUUGCGCAAUGGGCGAAAGCCAGGCGCAGCCAUGCCGCGUGAAUGACGAAGGUCUUGGGAUUGUAGAAUGCUUUCAACGCGGAAGAUUAUGACGGUACCCGGAGAAGAAGCCCCGGCUAACUUCGUGCCAGCCGCCGCAGUAACAC